rnacentral:rRNA from 1 species
UGGGGAAUAUUGCGCAAUGGGGGGAACCCUGACGCAGCCAUGCCGCGUGAAUGAAGAAGGCCUUAGGGUUGUAAAGUUCUUUCGGUAUUGAGGAAGGUUGGUGUGUUAAUAGCACAUCAAAUUGACGUUAAAUACAGAAGAAGCACCGGCUAACUCCGUGCCAGCAGCCGCGGUAAUACGGAGGGUGCGAGCGUUAAUCGGAAUAACUGGGCGUAAAGGGCACGCAGGCGGUUAUUUAAGUGAGGUGUGAAAGCCCCGGGCUUAACCUGGGAAUUGCAUUUCAGACUGGGUAACUAGAGUACUUUAGGGAGGGGUAGAAUUCCACGUGUAGCGGUGAAAUGCGUAGAGAUGUGGAGGAAUACCGAAGGCGAAGGCAGCCCCUUGGGAAUGUACUGACGCUCAUGUGCGAAAGCGUGGGGAGCAAACAGGAUUAGAUACCCUGGUAGUCCACGCUGUAAACGCUGUCGAUUUGGGGGUUGGGGUUUAACUCUGGCGCCCGUAGCUAACGUGAUAAAUCGACCGCCUGGGGAGUACGGCCGCAAGGUUA